rnacentral:rRNA from 1 species
AUGAACGCUAGCUACAGGCUUAACACAUGCAAGUCGAGGGGCAGCAUGGUCUUAGCUUGCUAAGGCCGAUGGCGACCGGCGCACGGGUGAGUAACACGUAUCCAACCUGCCGUCUACUCUUGGACAGCCUUCUGAAAGGAAGAUUAAUACAAGAUGGCAUCAUGAGUCCGCAUGUUCACAUGAUUAAAGGUAUUCCGGUAGACGAUGGGGAUGCGUUCCAUUAGAUAGUAGGCGGGGUAACGGCCCACCUAGUCUUCGAUGGGUAGGGGUUCUGAGAGGAAGGUCCCCCACAUUGGAACUGAGACACGGUCCAAACUCCUACGGGAGGCAGCAGUGAGGAAUAUUGGUCAAUGGGCGAGAGCCUGAACCAGCCAAGUAGCGUGAAGGAUGACUGCCCUAUGGGUUGUAAACUUCUUUUAUAAAGGAAUAAAGUCGGGUAUGGAUACCCGUUUGCAUGUACUUUAUGAAUAAGGAUCGGCUAACUCCGUGCCAGCAGCCGCGGUAAUACGGAGGAUCCGAGCGUUAUCCGGAUUUAUUGGGUUUAAAGGGAGCGUAGAUGGAUGUUUAAGUCAGUUGUGAAAGUUUGCGGCUCAACCGUAAAAUUGCAGUUGAUACUGGAUAUCUUGAGUGCAGUUGAGGCAGGCGGAAUUCGUGGUGUAGCGGUGAAAUGCUUAGAUAUCACGAAGAACUCCGAUUGCGAAGGCAGCCUGCUAAGCUGCAACUGACAUUGAGGCUCGAAAGUGUGGGUAUCAAACAGGAUUAGAUACCCUGGUAGUCCACACGGUAAACGAUGAAUACUCGCUGUUUGCGAUAUACUGCAAGCGGCCAAGCGAAAGCGUUAAGUAUUCCACCUGGGGAGUACGCCGGCAACGGUGAAACUCAAAGGAAUUGACGGGGGCCCGCACAAGCGGAGGAACAUGUGGUUUAAUUCGAUGAUACGCGAGGAACCUUACCCGGGCUUAAAUUGCAGAUGAAUUACGGUGAAAGCCGUAAGCCGCAAGGCAUCUGUGAAGGUGCUGCAUGGUUGUCGUCAGCUCGUGCCGUGAGGUGUCGGCUUAAGUGCCAUAACGAGCGCAACCCUUGUUGUCAGUUACUAACAGGUUCCGCUGAGGACUCUGACAAGACUGCCAUCGUAAGAUGUGAGGAAGGUGGGGAUGACGUCAAAUCAGCACGGCCCUUACGUCCGGGGCUACACACGUGUUACAAUGGGGGGUACAGAGGGCCGCUACCACGCGAGUGGAUGCCAAUCCCCAAAACCUCUCUCAGUUCGGACUGGAGUCUGCAACCCGACUCCACGAAGCUGGAUUCGCUAGUAAUCGCGCAUCAGCCACGGCGCGGUGAAUACGUUCCCGGGCCUUGUACACACCGCCCGUCAAGCCAUGGGAGCCGGGGGUACCUGAAGUGCGUAGCCGCGAGGAGCGCCCUAGGGUAAAACUGGUGACUGGGGCU